GAUGAACGCUGGCGGCGUGCCUAAUACAUGCAAGUCGAGCGAACAGACGAGGAGCUUGCUCAUCUGACGUUAGCGGCGGACGGGUGAGUAACACGUGGAUAACCUACCUAUAAGACUGGGAUAACUUCGGGAAACCGGAGCUAAUACCGGAUAAUAUAUUGAACCGCAUGGUUCAAUAGUGAAAGACGGUUUUGCUGUCACUUAUAGAUGGAUCCGCGCCGCAUUAGCUAGUUGGUAAGGUAACGGCUUACCAAGGCAACGAUGCGUAGCCGACCUGAGAGGGGGAUCGGCCACACUGGAACUGAGACACGGUCCAGACUCCUACGGGAGGCAGCAGUAGGGAAUCUUCCGCAAUGGGCGAAAGCCUGACGGAGCAACGCCGCGUGAGUGAUGAAGGUCUUCGGAUCGUAAAACUCUGUUAUUAGGGAAGAACAAAUGUGUAAGUAACUAUGCACGUCUUGACGGUACCUAAUCAGAAAGCCACGGCUAACUACGUG
rnacentral:rRNA from 1 species